rnacentral:lncRNA from 1 species
CAGAGACGUGUGAGCUGGCAAGGAGAUUGUAGAGCACAUCUGUGAUUGGAACAGCGCUCUCUGGGUCUGAACUGUGCCAGUUCAGCCUGAACUUGGGUGCCCAAAACACAGCUGGGAAGUGGAAGGGAUGCCAAAGCCUGUUUUAAUCUUGCCUAAGUCUCUACAAAGCUUCAGGAAAACAUGCAAACAACAGCAUUUCCAGCCUUGCUAUGAGGACAGCCUUCUACUUG